GGCCGUGGUGGCCACUUUCCGGGGGGAGGUGGCGGGACCGAGCAGGGCGCACGCCCGGGAGGAAAGCGGCGGGGAGAGGGCACCCGCGUGCGUGUGCGCGCGUGUUGGGGGGCUCUGCCGGGAGCUGCGGUGGCUGCAGCCCACCCGCGGCAGCUUGAGUUUACCACGGGGGCUUUGCUGAAAAGCCCAAAUCAAACAUUGCGACGGAGCCCGGCCAGCGCCGGAGCGGUGGCAGGAGACCGCAGGGCCCGCCGUGCGCCCACUCCACGUCUCCGGCUCCCUGCGGCGCCCUCGGUGCUUCGGCGCCCGAAACCGGCGCUUCUGGGGGUGUCUCUCCUCGGAGGUGCCCGGCCUCCGCCGCCCCGCGGCCUCUCCACCGCCACCACCCAGACGCCAUCAGGCUGGGCAUCCUGGAAGAGAAGCGAGGUCGUCCUCGUAUGUUUGAAACCGGAAGGUGAGAACUGGAUAAAGGAACACCGAUGACACAUUCUGGAGGGAUUCUAGGCUCCGCUUCUCACACCUUUCCUAAAUGCACGCGUGUCCGGAUCUCGACCGACAGCCUUAGCGUUUCACGGCACGAUGAAGAAGUCCUCUGCAGCCCAGUUUCCAUCAGUGCAAACUUUUUAAAGGACACACACGGCCCACCGUUUAAGGCACUCCCCGCACCCACCUCAUCCCCAGCCUCCACUCAAUCCCGCCCUUGGCUGACUCAAUUUCUACGUU